UCCCUGGUGGCUCAGACGGUAAAGCGUCUGCCUGCAAUGCUGGAGGACUGGGUUCGAUUCCUGGGUCGGGAA
rnacentral:tRNA from 1 species